rnacentral:ncRNA from 1 species
GCCUGGGGCAGUACACCUGUCAAAGUGUAAUGCAGGUGUCCUAAGGCCAGCUCAGGGAGGCCAGAAACCUCCCACAGAGCAGAAGGGCAAAAGCUUGCUUGGUUUUGAUUUUCAGUACAAACACAGACCAUGAAAGCGGGGCCUCAAGAUCCUUCUGACUUUUCAUGUAAUAUGAUCUUAUUUACUGCAGCUUGCUCUGUGGCACAUAGCAGUAAGAAUGUAUCUGAUAUAUUUUUCAUGUAUUAUAUCAACAGUGAGAUACAUCUGGAAGCUAGAAAUUAAAUCAUACACUUCAGCCAAAUUAAAAG